rnacentral:rRNA from 1 species
AUGGCUCAGGAUGAACGCUAGCGGCAGGCCUAAUACAUGCAAGUCGUACGGUAAACGGCCCUUCGGGGCUGUGAGAGUGGCGGACGGGUGCGUAACGCGUAUGCAACCAACCCCCGACAGGCGGACAGCCGGUGGAAACGCCGGAUAAUACGCCAUACGGCCGCGGUGAGGCAUCUCACCGUGGUCAAAGCCUCGGCGGUCGGGGACGGGCAUGCGUGCCAUUAGAUAGUCGGCGGGGUGACGGCCCACCGAGUCGACGAUGGCUAGGGGAUCUGAGAGGACGGUCCCCCACACUGGUACUGAGACACGGACCAGACUCCUGCGGGAGGCAGCAGUAAGGGAUAUUGGGCAAUGGGGGAAACCCUGACCCAGCCAAUGCCGCGUGAGGGAAUGAGGCCCUACGGGUCGUGAACCUCUUUUAUUCGGGGACAAGGACGGGGUCGUGAACUCCGUUUGAGGGUACCGAAGGAAUAAGCGUCGGCUAACUCCGUGCCAGCCGCAGC